rnacentral:rRNA from 1 species
AUUGAACGCUGGCGGCAGGCCUAACACAUGCAAGUCGAACGAGCGGCGGACGGGUGAGUAAUGUCUGGGAAACUGCCUGAUGGAGGGGGAUAACUCCUGGAAACGGUAGCUAAUCCCGCCUACCAUCAGAUGUGCCCAUAUGGGAUUAGCUUGUUGGUGGGGUAACGGCGCACCAAGGCGACGAUCCCUAGCUGGUCUGAGAGGAUGACAAGCAACACUGGAAAGGAGACACGGUCCCUACUCCUACGGGAGGCAGCAGUGGGGAAGAUUGCACAAUGGGAGCAAGCCUGAUGCAGCCAUGCCGCGUGUAUGAAGAAGGCCUUCGGGUUGUAAAGUACUUUCAGCGUGGAGGCGGUACCCGCAGAAGAAGCACCGGCUAACUCCGUGCCAGAAGCCGCGGUAAUAA